rnacentral:rRNA from 1 species
CCCGAAUGGGGAAACCCAGUGUGACUCGUCACACUAUCAUUAACUGAAUCCAUAGGUUAAUGAGGCGAACCGGGGGAACUGAAACAUCUAAGUACCCCGAGGAAAAGAAAUCAACCGAGAUUCCCCCAGUAGCGGCGAGCGAACGGGGAGGAGCCCAGAGCCUGAAUCAGCAUGUGUGUUAGUGGAAGCGUCUGGAAAGGCGCGCGAUACAGGGUGACAGCCCCGUACACAAAAGCGCAUGUGCUGUGAGCUCGAUGAGUAGGGCGGGACACGUGGUAUCCUGUCUGAAUAUGGGGGGACCAUCCUCCAAGGCUAAAUACUCCUGACUGACCGAUAGUGAACCAGUACCGUGAGGGAAAGGCGAAAAGAACCCCGGCGAGGGGAGUGAAAAAGAACCUGAAACCGUGUACGUACAAGCAGUGGGAGCACCCUUCGGGGUGUGACUGCGUACCUUUUGUAUAAUGGGUCAGCGACUUAUAUUCUGUAGCAAGGUUAACCGUAUAGGGGAGCCGGAGGGAAACCGAGUCUUAAUUGGGCGUUAAGUUGCAGGGUAUAGACCCGAAACCCGGUGAUCUAGCCAUGGGCAGGUUGAAGGUUGGGUAACACUAACUGGAGGACCGAACCGACUAAUGUUGAAAAAUUAGCGGAUGACCUGUGGCUGGGGGUGAAAGGCCAAUCAAACCGGGAGAUAGCUGGUUCUCCCCGAAAGCUAUUUAGGUAGCGCCUCGUGAAUUCAUCUCCGGGGGUAGAGCACUGUUUCGGCUAGGGGGCCAUCCCGGCUUACCAACCCGAUGCAAACUGCGAAUACCGGAGAAUGUUAUCACGGGAGACACACGGCGGGUGCUAACGUCCGUCGUGAAGAGGGAAACAACCCAGACCGCCAGCUAAGGUCCCAAAGUCAUGGUUAAGUGGGAAACGAUGUGGGAAGGCCCAGACAGCCAGGAUGUUGGCUUAGAAGCAGCCAUCAUUUAAAGAAAGCGUAAUAGCUCACUGGUCGAGUCGGCCUGCGCGGAAGAUGUAACGGGGCUAAACCAUGCACCGAAGCUGCGGCAGCGAACGUAUCACCCAAGACAACUUUACGGAGUUGACGAUUGACGGAGCGAAGCGACGUCAAAGCGUUCAUUAAAGUCGAGUUGGCUUAGGGAUACGUUCGUUGGGUAGGGGAGCGUUCUGUAAGCCUGUGAAGGUGUGUCGUGAGGCAUGCUGGAGGUAUCAGAAGUGCGAAUGCUGACAUAAGUAACGAUAAAGCGGGUGAAAAGCCCGCUCGCCGGAAGACCAAGGGUUCCUGUCCAACGUUAAUCGGGGCAGGGUGAGUCGACCCCUAAGGCGAGGCCGAAAGGCGUAGUCGAUGGGAAACGGGUUAAUAUUCCCGUACUUGGUGUUACUGCGAAGGGGGGACGGAGAAGGCUAUGUUGGCCGGGCGACGGUUGUCCCGGUUUAAGCGUGUAGGUGUGUGUUCCAGGUAAAUCCGGUUCACUUUAACACUGAGGCGUGACGACGAGGCACUACGGUGCUGAAGCAACAAAUGCCCUGCUUCCAGGAAAAGCCUCUAAGCAUCAGGUAACAUCAAAUCGUACCCCAAACCGACACAGGUGGUCAGGUAGAGAAUACCAAGGCGCUUGAGAGAACUCGGGUGAAGGAACUAGGCAAAAUGGUGCCGUAACUUCGGGAGAAGGCACGCUGACACGUAGGUGAAGUGAUUUACUCAUGGAGCUGAAGUCAGUCGAAGAUACCAGCUGGCUGCAACUGUUUAUUAAAAACACAGCACUGUGCAAACACGAAAGUGGACGUAUACGGUGUGACGCCUGCCCGGUGCCGGAA